UGGCUGACUGACCUCCUUUAAAUGAUUUGACAGAAUCCCUCAAAGCACAAGCACACGCACGCACACAUACACACAUUAGUCAUGGAGCUUUUGGUUGAUGAAGAUGAUGACAUUUCCAGAAGCAGAGAGGAUGCUGCAGUGUACAUAUUUUGGUUAGUGAGCAUUUUUAGACCUGGUUGCCUGGCAACUGAGACUCUUUGUUGUACAUAGCAGUGUCAUCCUGCUGUAGACACACACACACACACACACACACACACACACAUGAUGGAGUCAGCAUACUGGUGGGGGUCGACACAUUCGAGCACUUUGGAGAACCAAACCCUAAGCGCCACAAACACCGCCUCCACUUGGUAAUUCACGGUGGUUACCAUGACAACGUGUCCCAUGGUUGCCCAGGUAACAGGUGCUCCAGAUGCCUGGGGGAGAGCCUCUUAGGUGCAAAGUGGUUGUCAGAAAGAAGGCUUACUCGUUGACGCUCCCGCUGGUGGGGAGAAGAAUAGUGCCUGUGAGAGACCGACAACAGCCACACACUGUCAGGUCGUCACGACAACGCUAACGCACUGUAGCACUAUUGCAGCCAAUCAGAAGCCCGGAGAAAGCCAUGAGUGGAUAAGGUGGUGAAGGUGGUGAAGGUGGUGAAUGGAGGACAACUGUGGACUGAGUUCCCAGCAGAACCCAACGCAGCUCUGGCAUUGUCCCAUUGGACCGCAGACGGGGUUUUCGCAACUCUCUGCAGACGGACCACUCCGGACAUGACGUGCAGAUCUAGGAGGAUCCUGUUGUUGUCAUCGUCUUCAGUCAGAGAAAAGCCCAGCCUGGAAAGUCAAGAAUGUGCCCCUACCAACAUUGGCAUCAGCCUCGAUCAAAGAUCAUGGUUCUGCAUGCAUGUGUGUGCGUGUGUUUGUGUGUGUGCACAUUCAUACUUUGGCUCAUUGACAUUCAAGACUCGUCCAUCAGCAGUUAUCAGAGUCCUUGGGGGCUUUGCUUUCUUUUCUUUGCUUCUGCAGACACACAACAUCAUCAUCUUUGUUGUUGUUUUGUAUGUGUGUGAGUGUGAGUGCGUGUGCGCGUGUGUGUGUGUGUCUAUUCUUUUGAUAUUCCUGAGGAGAUUUGGUCUUUCAUCCCUCAGACCCCAUAAGACACAGUCAUAGGUCAGUCACACACACAUUCCAAGAGGAUCAUAUUAUAUGUUCCGCCAUUUAACUGUUCCAGCUGAUGUUUCCCCUCAAAGCAUUGGCAGGAAACAUCCAUCGAGUCCACACUGAGGCGAAGGUGAAGGGCCAUGUGGCGGUCGAGGCCGUGGCAAGCAGCGCCAUGAGUCACUGCCCAUCAACUGUCAGGCCUUCAAAUUGUACUGAGACAAAACCCCUCCCAACACACAUUGGACCCCCCCGGACCAGUCUGGACCACAUUACUGGAAGAAGCAGCCAAUGGUGGUCAUGUUACAUGUGAGUGGUUUCAAGAUAAAGGUGGGUAAGAAGAUAAGAUGGAUCUGUCCCAUCAAUCGUUUUAGAAUGUUUUGUCGUGUUCUAAGAAGUAAGCCGUCACGCAGGAUGUUGAUUGGUGUUGUAGUGACCCCCAGUGGUGAAAGGUACAAAGUGCAUCCAGUGAAUGCCAUGUGAUAUUUGACAAUAAACCCCCCAACCCCCUGGGACUUACCUAUCUUUUGCCCGCUUAUUUUCCUCCAGAUGGCGGUGAGCCUCCAGACGGGAUUCCGGGGUGAAAGGACAAGGAGUGUUCCAGAAUUCCUUCUCCCGUCGCUCCUCAUCUGACUCAGUCGUCUCCUUCAACUCCUGCUUGUCCUCCAAGGCGGGGCUGUGAGGACAACGUCACUUCUUCUCUGACAUUCAAGACUUUAGAAAAGGGGAACCAAAUUUGGACACGCCUCCUCACCUCCUCCAGCCCCUGAGAGGCUCUGAUCCUCUCCGACCUUGUGACAUUUGUCCCGUCUAGCGACUGAGCAGAGACGAGCCACAAGUAUACGUCCAACAUGAGACAUCCAUGUUGGUCGUGUCCGUCGGAUGAGGACAGAAAGUACAUACCUUCAGCUGUGGUAGUGAAG